rnacentral:rRNA from 1 species
GAACGCUGUUGGCGUGCUUAACACAUGCAAGUCGAACGGAAAGGCCCUGCUUUUGUGGGGUGCUCGAGUGGCGAACGGGUGAGUAACACGUGAGUAACCUGCCCUUGACUUUGGGAUAACUUCAGGAAACUGGGGCUAAUACCGGAUAGGAGCUCCUGCUGCAUGGUGGGGGUUGGAAAGUUUCGGCGGUUGGGGAUGGACUCGCGGCUUAUCAGCUUGUUGGUGGGGUAGUGGCUUACCAAGGCUUUGACGGGUAGCCGGCCUGAGAGGGUGACCGGCCACAUUGGGACUGAGAUACGGCCCAGACUCCUACGGGAGGCAGCAGUGGGGAAUAUUGCACAAUGGGCGGAAGCCUGAUGCAGCAACGCCGCGUGCGGGAUGACGGCCUUCGGGUUGUAAACCGCUUUCGCCUGUGACGAAGCGUGAGUGACGGUAAUGGGUAAAGAAGCACCGGCUAACUACGUGCCAGCAGCCGCGGUGAUACGUAGGGUGCGAGCGUUGUCCGGAUUUAUUGGGCGUAAAGGGCUCGUAGGUGGUUGAUCGCGUCGGAAGUGUAAUCUUGGGGCUUAACCCUGAGCGUGCUUUCGAUACGGGUUGACUUGAGGAAGGUAGGGGAGAAUGGAAUUCCUGGUGGAGCGGUGGAAUGCGCAGAUAUCAGGAGGAACACCAGUGGCGAAGGCGGUUCUCUGGGCCUUUCCUGACGCUGAGGAGCGAAAGCGUGGGGGAGCGAACAGGCUUAGAUACCCUGGUAGUCCACGCUGUAAACGGUGGGUACUAGGUGUGGGGUCCAUUCCACGGGUUCCGUGCCGUAGCUAACGCUUUAAGUACCCCGCCUGGGGAGUACGGCCGCAAGGCUAAAACUCAAAGGAAUUGACGGGGCCCCGCACAAGCGGCGGAGCAUGCGGAUUAAUUCGAUGCAACGCGUAGAACCUUACCUGGGUUUGACAUGGAUCGGGAGUGCUCAGAGAUGGGUGUGCCUCUUUUGGGGUCGGUUCACAGGUGGUGCAUGGCUGUCGUCAGCUCGUGUCGUGAGAUGUUGGGUUAAGUCCCGCAACGAGCGCAACCCUUGUUCACUGUUGCCAGCACGUUAUGGUGGGGACUCAGUGGAGACCGCCGGGGUCAACUCGGAGGAAGGUGGGGAUGACGUCAAGUCAUCAUGCCCCUUAUGUCCAGGGCUUCACGCAUGCUACAAUGGCUGGUACAGAGAGUGGCGAGCCUGUGAGGGUGAGCGAAUCUCGGAAAGCCGGUCUCAGUUCGGAUUGGGGUCUGCAACUCGACCUCAUGAAGUCGGAGUCGCUAGUAAUCGCAGAUCAGCAACGCUGCGGUGAAUACGUUCCCGGGGCUUGUACACACCGCCCGUCAAGUCAUGAAAGUUGGUAACACCCGAAGCCGGUGGCCUAACCGUUGUGGGGGAGCCGUCGAAGGUGGGACUGGUGAUUAGG